GUCCUACAGGCUCUGUGCUGAAACAAAACUCCAAUACAUCUGUGAACAAACCACCAAGGAACGUUUAUCGAAUCCUUUUUCUGCAGUAAGCAGAGUCCAAGUGCUUUCGGGUUUGUCAAAAUGCCUCUCAACCAUUUGGGUUAAGAAUCGCUAUGUUCCCAUUUUGCCAACAGGGAAAUUGAGUCACAAGGUUCCUCAGUAACUUGUGACACAGAUACCAAGGAGAGGCAGCUUCUUCUCAUUGUUUUAUUUUUUAUUAAGAGCUCUCACAAUGAGGGCCCAGGCUGGCCUCCAACUUAGGGGAUUUCUGCUUCAGCCUCUUCAGUGGGGCUGAGGUGACGGGCGCGUGCUACAGUGCUGGGUAAAACAGUGUCUGAUCUGGGAGUCCGGCUCCAGACCGAGCUCGAGAGCACUUCACUGACCUUGGAAAUGCUCUUUUUUUUUUUUUUUGUGAUGGUUGUUUGAAAUCGGGUCACCUGCAAAUAUCAGCCAAGCUGACGCUCCUGGAAAUGGGUUGUUUAUCUUGGUUUCCUGCACAGCAGGCCCUGACCUUUCUGCCUUUGCUUACCUGAUUGUUUUAUGAGCUAAUAAUUUUACACUAUGAUAAAUAUUUGUAGGAAGGAAAGGAUGGGGCAGAGGAGGGACCAAGGGACCUGCUGUGUGUGGGCGCAUACCUAUGCGUUCAUGUGUGCAUGUGUGCAUUCAUGUGUGUGCCUCUGUGUGUGUGUGUGUGUGUGUGCCUGCUUCUGUGUGUGUGUGUGCCUGCUUCUGUGUGUGUGUGUGCCUGCUUCUGUGUGUGUGUGUGCCUGCUUCUGUGUGUGUGUGCCUGCUUCUGUGUGUGUGUGCCUGCCUCUGUGUGUGUGUGUGUGUGCCUGCUUCUGUGUGUGUGUGCCUGCUUCUGUGUGUGUGUGUGUGCCUGCUUCUGUGUGUGUAUGUGUGUGUGUGUGCCUGCUUCUGUGUGUGUAUGUGUGUGUGUGUGCCUGCUUCUGUGUGUGUAUGUGUGUGUGUGCCUGCCUGUGUGUGUAUGUGUGUGUGUGUGCCUGCUUCUGUGUGUGUGUGUGUGUGUGUCUUCUUCUGUGUGUGUGUGUGGCUGCCUCUGUGUGUGUGUGUGGCCUGCCUGUGUGUGUGUGUGCCUGCUUCUGUGUGUGUGUGUGAAUGUGAGUGCUCUAGUAUCAUACGUGUGUGCUGGGCUCAGAGGACACUCUUAGGGAACAGUAGGUGGUCAGUUUUCUCCUUCUACCACGUAGAACUCUGAGACCAUACUCAGGACCAUACUCAGGACCAUCCUCUAGCAUCAUGGGGAGCAGUGGAUUCCCUGGUGACACGGAAAACUCUUCUCACUCCUCCUUGUGGGGUGUCUGUCUUACGCAGGCUUACAUGACAAGUGCCCUUUCCUACUGAGUCACCUGGCCACUCACCUUGACAAAUAGCCCUGGAUAGGCAUCUAGGCAUCUUCGAUUCAACUUUCUUGGUUAUGGCUCCCAAAUUCAAAGCGGAGCGCCUCUUUUCUUGUACACGCCUGUUAGUCAAGUGCUUGACUCUGUGGCUUCUGACUAUAUCCAAGACCAAGAAGGAUGACGUAACGAGAAAGCUCGGUGCUUUUUCUCUGGGAGUAUCGCUGUCAUGCAGUUAUAUAGGUUCACGACUUCAGGCUGUCCCGUUCCCAUCAUUCUCCAUAAAACGGUUGCCCUGCACAGGAGCCACAAUGUAUGGCAAUUGCCCAGGUCGAGGUCGGGUGGGGUGGGGUGAGGGUAAUUGCAGGACUGUAAUCGUUACGGACACAAUCUGGCUUAUCUGAGUGGCUCUGGGUGUAUCCCUGUGCCAUAUCACAAGGCACCAGGAAGUCCUGACAGUGGCGCCUGGAAACCUGCCCUGUCUGAGGCGGGUUCUUGAGGGAGUGUUGGCAGCGGCAUCGCCCCAUCCACACGGUGCGCUGACCAUCCUCUAGCAUCGUGGGGAGCAGUGGGUUCCCUGGUGACAUGGAAAACUCUUCUCACUCCUCCUGGUGGGGUGUCUGUCUUAUGCAUCUCUCAUCUCUACCAAGGAGGCCAACAGCACCUUUUCAUUUCAAAGUGUGAGCAUCCAAACUGUCCCCAUUGUCCCCAGGGACUGAAGUUGUUCAGGCACGAAAAGCAAAUGCUUCGGAGGUCACUAUUAUCUACCACGUGGCCAGUAGCCACGUGUGGGUCAGCUCUGGUCCAACCUGUGCUCUAAGAACAAAAUAUGCACCAGAGUUUGGUCAGUCAGUCUGAAGGUAAAUGCAACAUACCCCACUGACGAUUUUAAAGCAUCGAUUCCAUGUUAAAAGGAUAAUACUUUGCAUCCGGUUGGCUAAUUCAAAUAUUCUGUGAUACUCGCUUCAUCUAUCCAUUUCGGUGUGUUGGGGUGCGUGUAGGCACGGGAAGGGCAUAUGAGCAGCUGCCCAACAUGGUUGGUGGGAAUCAAACUUAUGUGGGUAGUGGGAACUGAGCUUGGGUCACCUGAAUUCCUGCCAUAGCUGGUUACACGGUCCUCCCAUGUCACUGUCUAGGUCACCAUGGCAGGCUUCAUCGGUCACUCAGCCAUGCUCUUGACUUCUGUCUCUUCCUUCUGGGAUACCCAGAUCCCAUUAAACCUCCAUCAAAGAAGCAUCCAUGGUUAUCUCAUGAUGCCCCCAAGGAAGCCCAGACUCCCUAGCUGCAUCCUCUGUCUUAGUGUAAGCUGCCUAUAGCUGGGGUAUGAUUUUAGAGACCAUCUCUAUGGCUCUCACUUCCUGUUUCAGUCAGAUGCGCCCAUAACCUCUCUACCACUCCGUUCACUCUCUCCUUCAACCUGUCAAAUCCCCAUGACUGUUUAACAUCUCUCCCCAGAGACAGGAAGACCAUAAGAGCCAGAGAUGAUGAACGACUCCUGGGAAACAGGGUCUUCCAAACACGAGGCUGGUGUACAUAUAAACUCACGAAGACCGUAGAAACAUGCACAAGUCUGUCAGGGUCCCCGCCCUGAGAUGGAUGGAUGGAGAAGUGAACAUGGCCUCCCAGCCCUACCCGAGAAACUGUAUGCAGUUGAUCUCCACCGGCCAUGGGAAAAUUGGUUUCCUCAAAUGGGUAGUUGGCCAACACAAAAUGAGCUCAAGGGUGGUUUUGUAGAUUUUGUUUCACUUUACUUUGUUUUGUUUGUCUGUUUUGUUUUGUCAUUUGGUCUCUUGGUUGUUUAUUUUGACUUCUAUUUUCGUGGGGCAUGUGUGUGUGUGUGUGUGUGUGUGUGUGUGUGUGUAUUUCUUGUUUUGUUUAUGCAUUGUUUGUUGUUGGUGACUUUUAAGAUAGACAGAGGGGGAAAAAGAAGAUAAAGUCUGGUGGGUAGGGAGGACAGGAGGAUCCUAGAGCCAUUGGAAGAGGAGAAAACAUGUGAUCAAAAGAUAUUGUAUGAAAAUAUUUUUUUAUUGAAAAAUAAAAUCUCUCCUCCUCCCAGGAGCCUUUCCAGUUACCAUGGUGAUCUAGACAACUAUAAUUGAGAGUGCCUCAAGGAAAAUGGCAGGUAGGGUUCUCCUUCGCUCCUGUGUCUUUGGCUUUUCUUUCUUCUUCGUGAAGGACCUCCCUCCAUGUUUUCUGAAUCUCUGAAUAGCCACUCAGGAUUGACUUCUAUGACUAUGUUUUCCAGCGUUAGACAGGAUGCUCAGAGAGUGGCGGUCGUCAUGAGUGUAAGGUUCCUACCGUUUCUCAGCACGGCCCAUGGUUGGUGAGUUCCUAGGAUGUGGCUGUCUCUCUCCCCCUCCUGGUAGAUCAACAUUGGGACUGGAGUCUAUUUAAAUUACAUCAGCCAACCAGAAUGAGCACACAGCCCACAUCGGGUCAGCCUGCCCUGAGCCACCUUGUUGCUCCAUCUGCAUUCCAGAAGAUCAGCCAUUGUUCAUCUGUCUGGCAGGACAACGAAGACGAAGGACAAAGGUCCUCUCCGGUGUUCUUGGCUCAGGCUGUGAAUAGGGAAGAAUGAGGAGGAAGUUUUAUAAAACGGCUGUGUGCACCAGGUUGAAGAACCCAGGCAGGUUCCCAGGGCUUCUGGGCUCUCUGCUUAGGAUAGCCAGCAGGUGGCUCUGCUGCACAGUGAGGUGACACGAACCAGAAGCGGGCACAGAAAAGCUUUCUAGGCUGCUUGAGCGGGUUCUGAGGGCUGCCUUCUUGGGAGAAGGGAAGAGGGACAUUUUAGGGUUCAGGAGGAGGAGUGAAGGUUAGAAAGGCAAGACAAAGUGAAGGUGACAGACAGGAGUGCACAGUGGAGAGGAAUCAGCAGCUGGAGAAACUCCAUGAGAGGGCCAGCUCUGUAGGGAACAUGGCCAAAGUUGGCUGGGUAUGAAGGGAAGCACACAUCUUCAGGAGGAAGGCAGGGUCUGGGUUUGAUUCCCCACUCUUCUUCUGGCCAUAGAGUUUUGGGCAAAUGCCCCAGUCUCUCUGUCUCCUACCCUGUGAACUGAAGCUCUAAUGCCAUUACAGGGUUGUUGGACCAUAUAAAUGAGAGUCCAGGAGACAGGGAGCUGCCGCCAUACAGAUGUUAGAAGUGUCAUUGGGUAUAGCACCUUGUUGGACACGCAUUAAUCAGCAUGAACUAAGCAGCGUGCACUGUGGCAAGGCACACAGCCUUGUGAGCACUCGGGGACUCUUAUUUAUCUGCAGGGGACCAGGCUAUGAGGAGACAUUGUCUACAGACCUGUGCGGCCUCCACCAGUCACCUGUCCUAGCCCCACUGAAGAAGCAACUAGGGAACUCAGGAACCAGAUUCUCUCAAACUGGAAAGGCUGUGGAGAUGUGGGUGUGUGGUCACUGAGAACAGGCCUGUGUCGGGGCAUCAAGAGGAACCACCAUUUAUCACAGGGAAGAGGAGCUGUGUGGGUGGGGAACAGUUUGAAAGACAGGAGGCCACAGCCUGGAAGCUGAGUUUUCCUCCUUCCUGAGAAGAUGUGUGGACAGGAACAUGCUCCCUCCAGGGGAGCCUGAGGUGUUCUGGCUUAGAGAAGCUCAGGGGUCUUAGCAUCCACACCCUAACCCUGCCACUGGUCAUGUGGCCGUAGGGCAAGUGACAUAAAACUCCUUUAGGUUUACUGACUGCCAUGGAAGAGUUGUAAGUCAUCAGUGAGUCAGCCUGGGUAGUGCCAGGUAGAGUGUGACAUUGCCAUGAGGCAGAGGAAGUGAAGAGGAUUGUUAAGAUCUCAUUGUUCCAAACAAUUUCAUUUUAAUUCACCUUCACUUUCAGGGAGGGUCACAGCAGGUUAGAACUAUGAAGGGAAUUUAAUACACACACACACACACACACACACACACACACACACACACACACCACCUUCUUCCCAGGCGGAGUUAUUACUCAUGGUGAGUCAGGGGAGGUGGGGCUUGUCUCUUGACUUUAAGUCAAAUGUUUCAGAAAAUCGUUAUACCUCAGGCCACUGAGAUGGAUCAUCGGGUAAAGGUAGCUGGCUAUUUGAGUUGGGUCCCCAGUAUCCAUGAAAAGAUGAAGGACAGAAUCAACUUCAUAGAGUUGUCCUAUCUAUACCACAGCAAACCUUCCUGGAUACACACACAGAGACAGACACACACACUACACAUACACACACACAUCAUCGUUGUCGUCAUCAUCGUCGUCGUCGUCAUCAUCAUCAUCGUCAUCGUCAUCAUCAUCGUCGUCGUCGUCGUCGUCAUCAUCAUCAUCAACAACAACAACAACAACACCGAUAAAUGAAGUGCACUCCCAGCAGCCCAGUGUAGUGAAAACUCACUUUUAAAAUUACAUUUUGUGUGUCUGCGUGUGCAUGUGCAGAAGUGGGCGUGUGCUAUGUAUGGCACACCGUGAGUGGGGCCCAGAGGAAAACCUAUAGGAAUUGGUCCUCUCCUUACGCCAUAUGGAUUCUGGGGACCAAACUCCAGUAGUCGAGCUUGGUGGUAAGUGCCUUUACUUCACGAGCCAUCUCUUUGCUCUGAGAAGCCUUUCUAUUUUGUUGUCGUCGUGUUUAUUUUGAAGACAGGGAGGGUCUCACUCUGGAGCCCUCAACAGCCUAGAGCACCUUCUAUAGACCAGGCUGAGAUCUGCCUGUCUCUGCCUCCUGAGUGCUGGAAUUAAAGGUGUACACCACCACGCCCCACCUGAAAUGUUAUUCUUGAAGAAAUUAAGUACCCCUCCCCACGCACACACACUUCUCUCAGAUGCUUUCUGGAGCUAGCAGCAGAGAAUAUAGUUUGUAUUGUCAACACAAUCGUUGUAUGAAGCAAGUUUUCAUGUGGGACGUCUAUGUAGCCAAGUAUGAGUAAUUACCUAUCUGCUCAUUCUCCAUGAUUGAAUCUACAAAUAAGGCUGUCAGUACAAUGCAUGCCCCUUAAUCUGUGCUGAUUGAUGUAUGCAUAUUGGACGUAGAUCCAUACAAAAGGACAGUUCUUCCACCUACCUGAUGGGAAAAUGAAUUAUCUUUCCUUCCGUCUUGGGCUUAUCUGCACUCCAUGACUGUUCCCAAAUGAACGCACACGUCCACAGCCCCAGAGAUCACUCUCAUUGCGUAACCGGCGAUGAGCCAUCUACUUGAAAGAGUGCCUCUUCUCUAGGGAUUAGCUACUGGUCCCAUCUAAUGCCUUAAAACAAAAGGAUGUGGGGGAUGUGUUCAUCAGAUCGUCACACGAUACUAAAUUUGGUGGGAUGGCUCACACUCAGCAAGCCAAGAAUAAAAUUCAAAACAACCAUGACAAAUUGAAAACAUGGCCCUACAGAAUCCGGAUGAAAUUCAAUAGGACAAUUAUAAGGUGACAUACAGCUAAAAGCAGCCGCCAUAUGUUAACGGAUAAAAAAAUGGGUCCAGUACCCGAUGAUCAGUCAGCAACUACCAGGUGAGUCCCUCCCAGGCUCUACGCUAAAGGUAGAAGCACCCCAAAACAAGAUCGCCCCAGGGAUCCUCAUUUCUGAAUUUGAAAGUCUACUAGAAUUCUGGAACCUACUAGAAUAAUCAUGUAUGAGGUACGACUUCCAGUUCACUGAGGGAAAAUAUCUCUGGGACAGAGUAGCCCUUCCCCUACCAGGAAUGCCAUUGUGUGACCUUACCAUGUUAGGAUAUCAUCCGUUCAGGGACAGGCUAGGGGAACGUUGUGGUGUGGCGGCCAUGUGUCAGAGGCACUGUGGGACCUCUAGUGUAGGGCAGAAAAGUUAGAACUUCUGGGAUGCUUUACUUGUUUAUGGCGUCAGUCAAGAAGGCUAUUUGAAAUCUGAAGCAGCUCCAAAGAGCCUGUCCUAGACAAUCCGGGGCAUCUGGUGGUAGUCAAGUAAGCGCCUUGCCUGUUUCAAAGCUGGCUGGAUUCCGCACACAUAAAAGGACCAUGAUGUGCCACGAGCCCCCUAGUGACCCGCUUUGUCAGUCCCAUGUCAGUUAGCUCCUCAUUACAAUGAUGAGUGGAGUCUGUGUCAACCCCUCCUGAAAAGGCUUGAAGAAGCUGGAGUGGGUCCAGCCAAGAGCCACAGACACACUCAAAGAGAUGGAAACUGGCUUCGUGUAGGAAGGCUAAAGGAAUGAGAAUUAUUCCGCCUUGGGUAGAACAACACGGGUAAAGUCUGAAUAACCCAUGCCAGAGUGGAAGCACAUACGACAUUACCUUAGCCUAACCUCUCAUCCCAUUUGUGACUUGGCCAUGGGUCACCUGGAAGUAAUAACCAAUAGCAUGCAUGGGUUCUACACUUCGUAUGACCGUCUCCGGCUUUCAGUAGAGGACUUAGUGGUCCUAUCAUGAUCUGGCCUUUGGCAUGAAGAAGCUGGGUUCUGACACAGGCGUUCUGUCAUGGCUGGAGUUAUUUCCCUAGCGGGCAGUAGACACGGGCAUCGAGCUAAUGGUGUCUUGUGGUAUUUCAGCCAUGGCUCCAACAGCAAAUGUCCUUUAUGGGACCAAGUCCUUGAAAAAAGUCUUUCUCAUCCCAUGACGCACCAAAGGGCCCCAGAGAAGGCUAUUAAUAAUAAGAACUUUCUUGGUUUUCCUUUCAGGUUUUGGAGACAGCACAGGCUGACUUUGAACUUGUGGCUUUGGACUCCUGAUUGCCCUGCCUCUCCCUUCUCAAGUGCUGGGAUUAUAAGUGUGUACCAUCAUGCCUCAAGAACUUUCUGAAUGACUAAAACCCUGACCUCCACCGGACUUUUUACACUAGUAAUCUCAUGUAAUAUCACAUACCUAUCCCCCUUGUACCCUAUCAGAGUUUUGAGCUAGGUCCUGUUACCCAUCUUCAUUCAUGCACUGAAGUCUUAACCUCUGAGACCCCAAGUUGUGACUGUAUUUGGAGAUGGAGUCUUUGAAGAGACUUUAAUGGUGGUCCCUGGGCUGGGUCCCUCACUCUGUGUGACUGGUAUCUUUGUAAGAAAAAUACAUUAUUAUAAGGGGACCCUCACAAAGGAAAAACCAUGUGGAACCAGAGGGAGAAGGUAGACAGCUAAACUCAGGAGUGAGGCCUCCAAAGAAACCAGCUUUGCCCAGACUUUGGCCUUGAGCUUCUAGCUCCAGAUUUGUAAGCCAGUAUGGGUCAGUAGUUUAAAAUACCCAGCUCUUUUCAGGGAAGCCUCAAAUAAGCUACAAUCUUCUGUUUAAAAGAAUUAUUUAUUUUAUGUAUGAGUACACUGUCGCUGUCUUCAGACACACCAGAAGAGGACAUCAGAUCCCAUUACAGAUGGCUGUGAGCCACCAUGUGGUUGCUGGGAAUUGAACUCAGGACCUCUGGAAGAGCAGUCAGUGCUCUUAACCGCUGAGCCAUCUCUCCAGCCCAGCUAUAAUCUUCUUAAUAACCUUAUUACCCACUGGUGUAAGGGUAAGACCCAAACCUGGAGCCUUUGAGUACCUUUCCCAGAACCAAGAACAGAGAAACCAGCAAGGCUCUCUUUGAGGCAUAUGUGUCUGAAAAAACCCAGCCAGCCCCAUCAGGGCACAACAGCUCAGACCAAAGCUUAGAAACAAAUAUUAGCCCAUCUGAUUCUUGUAGAUCAAAGAGCAGAGUGGCUACUGCCAGACUCUGGCAUGUGGAAUUUGGCUUUUGAAAUCAGAUCUCUGCUUUAGUAUAUAAAAUUUAGGAUCAAAUUAAUGGAAACUGGGAAUCGAGUUCUGUGGACUCACCAUGGAUUCCCAUGUGGAGGAAGGAGAAAAUAUCCCUAGAUGUGAGUGAGGGGCUUUGAGGGGCUCUGAGGGGCUCUCACAUAUAAUCCUCGCAUAGAGUCCUUGGUAGACUCUUGGUAGAAUGAUGGUUUCUAGUGGGGAAGCAGCAUUUGGAGGGGGCUACAUGUCUUCCUUAGCAUAUAGGAGUGUUGGAUCAGAGCAGUUGUGAUGUGUCUGAUUUCGGCCCAUCGAGCGCAUGAUCCACGCACACCUUAAUGGUGGCUUCCAUGUUUGUCAGGUACUGUGGGUACCAAGAACUUUAUUUUGAAGGCUGGCAGCUUCCAAAGUAUCCUAUUUUACCUGGGAAUGAAUGGAAGCCCACCUAUGUCUAGCAAUGACCAGAGAUGGUAGGGGUCUCAACUCAAGUCUUCAGGGCAGGUCGGUCUUACCCUAAAGCUCCUGCCUUUUCCCAACACACGACGAUCUUGCAAUCUGCUUGCUUUCCUUUUGCUUUUGAACUUUCUCAGUGUUCAGCCUAGCCCUUAGUACCUCGUCUCUGUGCCCAACUCUGUUGGAUCAGAUGACAGGCAGAGCGUCUAAAGGAGUCACCUCCCAGUUGGACAAAAACAUCAAUCAGUGAUGCUACCCUAAGCGUGUGUGUGAUGACUCUGGCCCCAUGGGUGUGAGGAGUGAGUGUAGCACAAUCCAUCUGAGAACCACGUUGCACAUCCUCAGACAAACAUUGUUGAAGGACACCUGAGGUACAGCGGAUGGCCAGCCCAGCAUUUGAUCUAGCAGGCGCUAAGAAAGUAGGCAUGAAUCAAAUGAGUGAGGCAAAAUGGAUGAAGUUCUUUUUAAAGACUUGUUUGGUUUUCCUGAAACAACUGAAGUUUAACUGACAUUUCUUUUGGUUCUGAAAGCUAGAGGUCAAGGUCAAGGUCAAGGAGGACGGAUUCCCUCCUGUGGGACUCCAGACGGCUGUCUUCUCACUGCAGUCACAUGACUUCUCCAUGGUGGGUGUGCAGAGGGCAAAGGGGGCGGGACAGGAAUGGAUGAAAGGAGAGAAAACAGGGAGGAAAGGAGGAGCACUAAAGAGAACAUGAUAAAGCGAUAAGAGCAUUCCAGAAAGCUGACUUUUUUUUUCUAAGAAGCACACUGAAUUUACAGGGCCAGAGACCAUCUCAUUUAAUUGUAAUUACCAGUUUAAUUAAUUAGGGACCAACUCCAGACACAGCCACUCUAUAGGACUCCAACACUCUGCUCCUAACAUCCGGUGUCUCAAGCUUGUCUGUCUAAACAAAUUCCUUUUAAAAAAAUUUAAAGACUGAUCCGACCUCCUUGGUAUUUACAUAUCUAUUCAAGUUUCUUUUUUAAAAAGUUGUAUUUAUGUGUAUGUGUAUGUGUACGUAUGUACAUGUAUCAUGUGUGUGCUGUUCCCAGGGAGGCCAGAGGAGGGCAUCAGAUCCCACGGAGCUCACGUUACAGGUGGUUGUGAGACACCAGUAGAUGCUGGGAACCUAAGCCAGGUCCUCUGAGAGUAGCCAGUGCUCGUAACACCUGUGCCAUCUCUCCAGUCCUUAGACAGGAUCCUUUUUGGCAUAGAGCAGCACGCUGUUGUACUCUGGGAGACGUGUUUCCAGAGAGGCUGGUGUGUAUUAACACUGCCUGGCUUUCCAAACCCUCAGGGCUGGAGUUUGGAAAGGCUCAUGGUGUAGAGUGGAGUUUGAGGUUAGGAGUUGCAGAGAAAUAUCCAGAGGAUGUUUGGGUUCUGGAAGGUGCAGUUAUUGGAUGCCUAGGUUUUGGGGAAGGUACAGACAGAGUUUGGAGCCACUCUCAGGGCAAACUUUAAGUAACCCAGCAAAGGUACAUUCUCCCUGCGCUGAGAGAAAUCGCUUGGCAGCUCAGUUUGUUGCAGCAAACCCACAAAUGAUCGGGGUGGCUUAAACACCAGCAUGCGUUUCUCUCAGUUUUGAAAGCUAUGAGGUUUACCUGACUCUCUAAAGUCGUUAAUCUCUGGACUGAGGAGUUGGCCCUGUUGGUAAAGUGCUUGACCUGAGUCUGAUCCUCAACUUACACUUAAAAAAAGACCAGUCAGACAAAGAGACAAAAACGUCACCAAAGUAGGCAGAGUGGGGACACUCGUCAUGCCAGCCUUGGGGAGGCAGAGACAGACAGGUGGGUAGAUUCUUGGAGCUUGCAGGCCCAAAAGAAUUCUAGACUGUCGAGUGAUUCUGUCUAAAAUACAACCAAACAAAAGGAGGGAGCUGGGAGAUACAAAUUGAUUGAGAGUUCGUGCUUUGCAUGCAUGAAGGUUUUCCUCUGGCCUCCAAAUUCAUACAUGUGUGUGCAUAUCCCCACAGACAUGUAUUCAAAUACAUACACACACACACACACACACACACACACACACACACACACACACACACACACAACAAGGGCUCCACCUUGAACUUUACUUUCACAAAACACCCUCCCCCUCUAAUUCCCAUCACAUUACAGGUCAGUUCCCAAUGUAAGAUACUGAAAGGAAGGGCACAGCCUGUAGUCUAUACCCAGGGUGAAAAGAUCCUAAUUUUAUUUUUCUUAAGGAGUGGAGAGAAAGGGAGAGGUUGAAGGUCAAGCUUAGACAUCCAUGGGGAACCAAUCUAGAUGUCUGACUCCCCAAGUUGAGGGUAAGAGGCAGACAACCCUUUGGAAAGGGUGCCAGUUCCGGAGAAAAUCCCCAGCCUGUGGAAGUCAAAUCUCACCCCUGGCUGUGUUGAGCCUGUAGAGCUGUGGGAAACUGCUCUGCUCUAAGCGUUUCCUCCGGAUACAGGCUGCAGAGUUGCUGUGUAGGCUUAGAGGAGGACGGUUGAGCAUCAUGGCUACAAAGUAUCCAUCAGAGCCUCAGUGACUUUGCUGGCUGCUACUCUCUGCAUUGUUGAGCUCUUGGGCCUAGCAUGGUUCAACCCAGCUCAGUAAUGCUGGCCCAGUCUGGUAGAUCUUUCCUUGCUUGCUCUGGUCUCUGUUUUAUUUGUUUAUUUUGUUGGGGUCUUUUUUGUUUCCUUUUUGGCACGCGCGCGCGCGCGCGCGCGGGCGUGUGUAUGUUUGUGUGUGUGUGUGUGUAAUAGAUGUAUGUGUCUGUGUGUUGUAUAUAUGUGCUCGUGUGGGUGAGGUGUGUGUGCACGUCUGUGUGUGAGUGCAUGUCUCUGUGUGUGUGUGCAUGUCUUUGUAUGUUUGGUUGUGUGGAGGCCAAAGGUAAAUGGAUGUUGAGUUGAGUGCCUUCUUCCCAUACUCCCCAUCCUACUUUGAGACCUUGUCUCUCCUUGAAUCUGGAACUUAUCCCUUCAGGUUGGCCCUCCCUGAACUCCAUUGUCCGCUUGUCUUUACUCCCAACCCUUCAGUGCUGGGGUCAUACAUGCGCCUCAUGCCCAUUUCAAAAUGGCUGCCAGGGAUCCAACCUCGGGUCCUCACAUUUGCUUGGCCAUCAUUUUACCCCCUAAGCUUCCGGCCUAAGCUUUAUGCCAUUUCUCUGCCCUUCUCUAAGGUCCCUUCCAACAGUUAACAUAAGUUUCUGGGCUUCUAAAGGGAUGUAGGGAGGCUUAU